UACGUAGGUGACAAGCGUUAUCCGGAUUUAUUGGGCGUAAAGCGUCCGCAGGUGGCUGUGUAAGUCUGCUGUCAAAGAGCGAAGCUCAACUUCGUAAAGGCAGUGGAAACUACACGGCUAGAGUGCGUUCGGGGCAGAGGGAAUUCCUGGUGUAGCGGUGAAAUGCGUAGAGAUCAGGAAGAACACCGGUGGCGAAGGCGCUCUGCUAGGCCGCAACUGACACUGAGGGACGAAAGCUAGGGGAGCGAAUGGG
rnacentral:rRNA from 1 species